rnacentral:rRNA from 1 species
GGCUAACUACGUGCCAGCAGCCGCGGUAAUACGUAGGGUGCAAGCGUUAUCCGGAAUUAUUGGGCGUAAAGAGCUCGUAGGCGGUUUGUCGCGUCUGCUGUGAAAACUGGGGGCUCAACCCCCAGCCUGCAGUGGGUACGGGCAGACUAGAGUGCGGUAGGGGAGAUUGGAAUUCCUGGUGUAGCGGUGGAAUGCGCAGAUAUCAGGAGGAACACCGAUGGCGAAGGCAGAUCUCUGGGCCGUAACUGACGCUGAGGAGCGAAAGGGUGGGGAGCAAACAGGCUUAGAUACCCUGGUAGUCCACCCCGUAAACGUUGGGAACUAGUUGUGGGGUCCAUUCCACGGAUUCCGUGACGCAGCUAACGCAUUAAGUUCCCCGCCUGGGGAGUACGGCCGCAAGGCUAAAACUCAAAGGAAUUGACGGGGACCCGCACAAGCGGCGGAGCAUGCGGAUUAAUUCGAUGCAACGCGAAGAACCUUACCAAGGCUUGACAUAUACGAGAACGGGCCAGAAAUGGUCAACUCUUUGGACACUCGUAAACAGGUGGUGCAUGGUUGUCGUCAGCUCGUGUCGUGAGAUGUUGGGUUAAGUCCCGCAACGAGCGCAACCCUCGUUCUAUGUUGCCAGCACGUAAUGGUGGGAACUCAUGGGAUACUGCCGGGGUCAACUCGGAGGAAGGUGGGGAUGACGUCAAAUCAUCAUGCCCCUUAUGUCUUGGGCUUCACGCAUGCUACAAUGGCCGGUACAAAGGGCUGCAAUACCGUAAGGUGGAGCGAAUCCCAAAAAGCCGGUCCCAGUUCGGAUUGAGGUCUGCAACUCGACCUCAUGAAGUCGGAGUCGCUAGUAAUCGCAGAUCAGCAACGCUGCGGUGAAUACGUUCCCGGGUCUUGUACACACCGCCCGUCAAGUCAUGAAAGUCGGUAACACCUGAAGCCGGUUGCCCAACCCUUGUGGAGGGAGCCGUCGAAGGUG